CCGUCGCUCCUACCGAUUGAAUGGUCCGGUGAAGUUUUCGGAUCGCGGCGACGCCGGCGGUUCGCUGCCGGUGUUGUUGUGAGAAGUUCAUUAAACCUUAUCAUUUAGAGGAAGGAGAAGUCGUAACAAGGUUUCCGUAGGUGAACCUGCGGAAGGAUCAUUGAACACACGAUCUUGGAAAAACCCUGCGAACCGAUGCUUGUACCCCGAGGGAUCGUGCCCGGAGGCACGAUUGCCGGUGUUGGAGUCCGGAUUCAUGUGCACUCGCCGUGAUCCUCCCCGUUGGUGCGUGGCGGGAUUAAGUGACUCUGCUCUCACCGGCGGAUUGCCCGGACACGCGUGGCUCCGAGUCUCACCUGUGGGACUCGGAGUCAGGAUGGCAUCCCCUCCUCCGGCGGAGGGGGAGUUCCGGGGGAAGUCUUGCUGUCCGAUGCGGUACGGCAAGUUUCUCUCGGAGAGCUCUCUCUCCGCCGGGGCCCUUUGUUUCCCAAACAAGGAAAAACCGGUGAAACGAAUACGAUGAGACUGAAGAGGUUUCGGGAUUUGCCUCGGCGAUCCCGACUCCUCCAGAAAUUGAGUCAAACACCAAUGACUCUCAGCAACGGAUAUCUUGGCUCUUGUAACGAUGAAGAACGCAGCGAAAUGCGAUACCUAGUGUGAAUUGCAGAAUUCCGCGAAUCAUCGAGUUUUUGAACGCAAGUUGCGCCCGAGGCUCGUCCGAGGGCAUGCCUGCCUGAGCGUCCACUCUGACCCACCCACGAGCCUCUCUCCUCCACGGAGUGCAGAGUGGCUGGCGUGCGAGUGGAACUGGUCGUCCGGGAUCUUGCUCGUCUCGCAUCGGGACGGGUUCAAGUGUCGCGGUUGGCUGAAAGACACGAGCCGUCCGUCAAGCGCGCGCCGUGGGCGAUGGUGCGUCGCGACAAGGUGCCGUUCUCUCUCGGGCGUUUGAGCCCGGAGACGAACGUUGGUAACGAUAGCGUCGUGCCUCCCCGGCGGAGUCGGGACUUGGCGGAUCGGUGAAACAUGGGAGCGGUACGAUUGGAGUGCGUUCUUUCCCCCCACGGCUCUCUCGCUUGCGAGGAGACGUGGGGGGAUCGCACGAGAAUCCGACCGACACGUUGUUCGGACCUCAGAUCAGACAAGACUACCCGCUGAGUUUAAGCAUAUCACUAAGCGGAGGAAAAGAAACUAACAAGGAUUUCCCUAGUAACGGCGAGCGAACCGGAAGUAGCCCA
rnacentral:rRNA from 1 species